rnacentral:tRNA from 1 species
AAUAAAGUGCCUGAUAAAAGGAUUAUUUUGAUGUAAUAAAAGAUGUUUAAUUAAACCUUUAUUU